CCCUCCUACAAAGGCGUGUCUAUUGUUCCCUGUCUUUGGACACGUAAGAACUGGAGGCAAAGAAAUGUGGACUUGGGAGAAUUCUGGGGCCAGCUUGCUUCCUGCAGGCUCAAGAUGAACCAUCCAACAAAG
ensembl:snoRNA small nucleolar RNA, H/ACA box 38